rnacentral:lncRNA from 1 species
CUAUCGCUAAGUUCAUUUUUCUGAUUGAAUAAAACAUAUAGCAUUUUUUUUUUUUUGGACAAAAAAUCUAUCGAUGUGAAACAACCGUUGUACUCUAAAAGUUUAAGCUGUUAAAGAACGGUAUUUAAACAUUAUAUUUAACACUCCCCCUUACGUCUGGGUUCGAGACUUUUUAGUCGGCUCAUGACGUGGGCUUGAAUUAAAUGGGAGGAAAUUAAUAUGUUAGGAGAUUGGCAUGACUCUAACUUAUGACCUUCUGUUCUGAUACCAUGUGAAACAACCGUUGUACUCUAAAAGCUUAAGUUGUUAAAGAACAGUGUUUAAACAUUAUAUUUAACAAUCGAGCACCUAACAUAAUUACUUUUUUUUAUAGAAUGUAAAU